GUGGAUAUAGCUCAGUGGUAGAGCGCAUGCUUAGCAUGCAUGAGGUCCUGAGUUCAAUCCUCAGUACCUCUA
rnacentral:tRNA from 1 species